rnacentral:rRNA from 1 species
AUUGAACGCUGGCGGCAUGCCUUACACAUGCAAGUCGAACGGCAGCACGGGAGCAAUCCUGGUGGCGAGUGGCGAACGGGUGAGUAAUGUAUCGGAACGUGCCCAGUCGUGGGGGAUAACGUAGCGGAAGCUACGCUAAUACCGCAUACGAUCUAUGGAUGAAAGCGGGGGACCGUAAGGCCUCGCGAGAUUGGAGCGGCCGAUAUCAGAUUAGGUAGUUGGUGGGGUAAAGGCCUACCAAGCCGACGAUCUGUAGCUGGUCUGAGAGGACGACCAGCCACACUGGGACUGAGACACGGCCCAGACUCCUACGGGAGGCAGCAGUGGGGAAUUUUGGACAAUGGGCGCAAGCCUGAUCCAGCAAUGCCGCGUGCAGGAUGAAGGCCUUCGGGUUGUAAACUGCUUUUGUACGGAGCGAAAAGGCUCUCUCUAAUACAGGGGGCUCAUGACGGUACCGUAAGAAUAAGCACCGGCUAACUACGUGCCAGCCGCCGCCGUAACAC